AAAUCGACCAAGUAUACGCAUAAUAUAGAAUAACUUUGAAAUAUCAAUAAUAAACAUUUUCAAGAUUUACCAGAGAGCAUGAAUAAAUAUCUUCUAGAUUGGUGUUUCCUGGAGAUACGAGAACCUCUGUGGAAGAGCAUGAAUCGUCUUCGGAUUAUGAUGUAAAGCUAAGGAACAAAACAAGAUUACAAUGCAAUUUAAUAUGCAUAUCAGUUGCCACAAAACAUAAUUUACAAUCAAUCGACACCGUCCUUGUCUAAACUACGGAGGAGGAGAGGGGCUGGAAUGCCGCACUACUGUGCAAUUGGUUUUAUGCUUCCUGUAAACAACUCAUCCAUAACUGAGAAAGAUAUUAACGGUGGCUAAGGAUAAUGCAGGAUGGUGUAAUGGAAUUCGAAACUUAUCAAAAUGCUUCCUCGUUCGAUUGCACAUAGUACCGCCGCAAAGGUUGAGCACUGAAUAUGCCGGUCGCUUUCCACAGCAUGUGCCCAUAUAGAAAUGAAGACAAAUGUUAACAUAAAUGCGUAAUGCCAUAGCAUCGCCAUGGCCCAUUCACUCUAUGAGUCUGUCCUGCUUUGGUUGACGUGGAAACUGGUUUUAUCUUACCUAGCCGACUCUUAGCAGGCGGGGCUGUGGCAGAAGGUGGUUUACUUGUAUGUGGUCGGUUCAGAUAUCGGCCAGCUUGAAAUUGUUGAAUAAUAAAUAAGAGUACGUGAAAUGAAAAUGGAAAGUUAAAUUUAUGACUUUGUCGAAGAUGAUGUUGCUGCAAACCGAAGCCAUAUACACCAACAGCGCCAUUGCCGAUAUAAGCUAGCUCGACAAGGAGUAUCUGUGUGUGAAUUUCUUCGCAUGUUAACUUCGUAGCGAAGGGAGGUGGAAACU